rnacentral:lncRNA from 1 species
ACCUAGACUUUUAUAUUUGGGGGCGGGAGGGGAAGGGACUUUGUCUCACAAGUCACAGAGCAGCCUGAUUUCAGCCACAAAGAUAAAGCCUGUCUAAGGUACUAGAGAAUGAAACGGAGAGAGAAACGGAUAAAACACGAUGGGGAAACAAGGAAGCCUGGCGGCGCUGAGAAGCUCUGCUCGCAGUAGUCAUCGAUGGUCCAUUCACUGGCAAGAGGCAUCGAGCUUGUUAGCCGCUUUCCAAGCAGAGCCUGGGUGCUUCUAGAAG